UGGGGGAUAUUGCACAAUGGGCGAAAGCCUGAUGCAGCGACGCCGCGUGGGGGAUGAAGGCUUUCGGGUUGUAAACCUCUUUCGCUAUCGAACAAGGCCCGCUUAGGGUGGGUUGAGGGUAGGUGGAGAAGAAGCGCCGGCUAACUACGUGCCAGCAGCCGCGGUAAUACGUAGGGCGCGAGCGUUGUCCGGAAUUAUUGGGCGUAAAGGGCUUGUAGGCGGCUUGUUGCGCCUGCUGUGAAAACGCGGGGCGUAACUUCGCGCGUGCAGUGGGUACGGGCAGGCUUGAGUGUGGUAGGGGUGACUGGAAUUCCAGGUGUAGCGGUGGAAUGCGCAGAUAUCUGGAGGAACACCGAUGGCGAAGGCAGGUCACUGGGCCAUUACUGACGCUGAGGAGCGAAAGCAUGGGUAGCGAACAGG
rnacentral:rRNA from 2 species